GACGAACGCUGGCGGCGUGCCUACUACAUGCAAGUCGAACGCAGUGGGGACGGGUGAGUAACACGUGGGUAACCUCCCAUCAGAGGGGAUAACACUUGGAAACAGGUGCUAAACCGAUACUGAUGGAUGGACCCGCGGUGCAUUAGCUAGAUGGUGAGGUAACGGCUCACCAAGGCCACGAUGAAUAGCGGAGCGUAGAGGGUGAGCUGCAAGACGGGUACGGAGACACGGCCCAGACUCAUACGGGAGGCAGCAGUGGGGAAUAUGGCACAAGGGGCUCAAGCCGGAUGCAGCCAGGCCGGGUGUAUGAAGAAGGCCUUCGGGUGGUAAAGUACUUUCAGCGGGGAGGCGUUACCCGCAGAAGAAGCACCGGCUAACUCCGUGCCAGCAGCCGCGGUAAGAC
rnacentral:rRNA from 1 species